UUUCCGUAGGUGAACCUGCGGAAGGAUCAUUGCACACAAGUUGCAGCAAACCCACGGCGAACGAACACAUUGUCCCGCUCGGUGGGUCGUGGGGGCUCGCGGCGUCGCGGCCGGCCAUCUCCCGAGGUCACGAGCGUCAAACCUCGCGGCGUCGGGGGUACCCUUUCACGAUGCAUCCACCCGAGAUGACUGAGUCCCUUUUGAGUGAGAGGUGCGAGCUCCGACCUCCUUCGCGGGGGGUCGGCGUUGGUAACCUCGCGAUGUGAAAUAACCACAAACAACUCUCAGCAACGGAUAUCUUGGCUCUU
rnacentral:misc_RNA from 1 species